GAUUAUGGCUGCUCCUGGUUUAUGUAAAGUGUCUAAUGUUGUCCUGAGUUCGGUUCUGUUUAAUUUUGUUAAUUUCUAAACUUUUCCUGCUGGACACAAGAUGUCACAACUGCACAUUCAAUUUUCAAGGGUAUUUUACUGUCAUCUACAACACAAUGUUGUAUAAUAAAAAUUAGAUAUAAUUCCCUUUAUGCUGCUUUUAAGAAACAACUUAGCAGGAGAUAUAUUAGCACUCCCCCUUCUGGCCUGGGUCGUGCACUUCCUAUGCCACUUUGUGAUGUUUCCAGUCAGGAUGCUUUCCUCCUCUGUAAAAGUUAACAAGAACUAGGCACAGGAAUUUUGCUUUCUUAAGUUUACUUAUGAAAUACAGUUGUUUCUAUGCUUUGUUAACCAAGCUGGAGAUGUGAGAUGACCAUGACAGGGUCUCUGUGUCUCUGAAACUGUUCACCUGCCCCACCUUCGGCCGUCCGUCCCCCAUGACAGGGAAUGUAGUCAUGUGUACAGCGUGAACAGGAAGGGGCUGUAUCUUUAGGAUGAAUUCUGUUGUACAGUCCAUUUCACUGAGCUCCAGAGAUCACAGUGAACAGAUCUACACAGACCUUCACCACGAGAACAACUGAUUAGUUACAUCCAUGGAGAACGUACUGCAUCUCAACAUGGAUUACAAAAUCUCAUCGGAUGAACUAGGAGAACUCAGGUGCAGUGAUUUGGAUGUUCCUUUGUUCACAUCAGACGUCAUUGAAUCCAUCCUCAAUUUAUUCGUACAUGAUAUCACAGAAGAGCAGUGGAAGUUAAUAGCUGAUGGCAAAAUCCACAUCAAAACAGUCCUUCUUCUAUCUGACAUGUGCCACGAGAUCAUAGAGUCAAUCAGCCUCUCGGUCUCAGAAACUGUGGCACCUCAGAUUGAAAGCUGGACUGCUCAGGAGGCUGCCAGGAACGCCAGCAGCAGCUCUAUCACAAGUGAAACUUCACAGAGAACGUGUAAUUAUCGCUAUGUGACAGAGGAAGAUAUCCAAGCCAGCAUUGGGGAUUUGCUUCACUUCUGUUUCGGUGAGGUGCUCGGAUACGAACAGGAGAGAUCCCACGAGUCUGAACUGCUACUGGAGUUUCUCUCAGCAGAAGUGACCCACAGGGUGAACAACAUGUUGGCUGCAAUCGUACAGUCACCUUCACCCACAAAGUCAACAGAGUCUGCUGAGUCUGAAUCAACCGGUUCAUCUCAGACUAAAUAUAUGGUUUACUUCAUCUGCCGUAUAUUGAAUCACUUGAUCUUGACAGAUCUUGAGUCACCUGAGGACGAAGAAUCUCUGAAGAGUGAUUCCUCUAAGGGUUCUUGUCCAGACCAGGUGGCAGAUGUUGCAAAGUUUACCAGAGAGAGUUGCUGUUCAGAUGAUGAGUCGGACAUGGAGGGGUUGAGCACAGAGGUUUGCUAUCCAGAUGAUAUGUCCGACAUUGAGGAGUUUGACACAGAGGGUUGCUCUCCAGAUGACGUGUCCAGUGUUGAGCAGUUUACUGCACAGGCCUGCUUUCCCAACAAAGUCACGGAUGUUGAGGAGUUUUGUGCGGAGGGUGCUGAUCAAAUCUGCUCUGCAUCAGAGCAGCGUAGAUCAGUCCUCUCAGGUGAUCAGAGUCUGAAGUGUUCUGCCAGUUCUGCAGACGAGUUGCUACAGCGAGAUAGGACCUUUCUCGCUGUGCUUCUCGNNNNNNNNNNNNNNNNNNNNNNNNNNNNNNNNNNNNNNNNNNNNNNNNNNNNNNNNNNNNNNNNNNNNNNNNNNNNNNNNNNNNNNNNNNNNNNNNNNNNAAGCACUUGGCGACAAGGGCAAGGAAAAACUGCCUGUUAAAAGGCAGAAACCUAGGACAGAUCCUCCGGCUCUAGGUGGGUGGUCGUCUGUCUCGACCAGUUGGGGUGAGUGAGUGAGUGAGUGAGACACACACAGACAGAUAGACAGGUGCACAGCAACAACAGUAUUGGCAAUGGCAAUCUAGCAGGACCAUGGCAGGAGGCUCCACCAGGAUCGAUAAGAACCUGCGAGACGAGAAAGCACAAGAACUCCGGGGUAGAAGUGAAGUUAGUAACAUGCAUUAAUGGAACAUGAAUGAGUACAGAAAGAGAGAGGAAGGGAGGGAGGAGCUCAGUGCACAAUGGGAUAGUCUAGGCCUAUAGCAGCAUAACUAAGGGAUGGUUCAGGACUCACCUGAUCCAGCCCUAACUAUAAGCUUUAUCAAAGAGGAAUGUCUUAAGCCUACUCUUGAAUGUGGUGAGGGUGUCUGCCUCCCGAACCACAACUGGAAGCUGGUUCCACAGGAGAGGAGCUUGGUAACUGAAGGCUCUGGCUCCUGUUCUACUUUUAAAGACUAUAGGAACCACAAGUAGCCCAGCAUUCAGAGAACGUAGUGUUCUAGUGGGGUAAUAGGGUACUAUGAGCUCUUUAAGAUAUGAAGGGGCCUGACUAUGAAAAGCUUUAUAGGUGAGGAGGAGGAUUUUAAAUUCUAUUCUACAUUUUACAGGGAGCCAAUGCAGAGAAGCUAGUACAGGAGAGAUGUGAUCUCUUUUUCUAGUUCCUGUCAGUACUCGUGCUGCAGCGUUUUGAAUUAAUUGGAGCGUUUUAAUGGACUUAUUGGGGCAACCUGAUAAUAAAGAGUUGCAGUAAUCCAGCCUAGAAGUAACAAAUGCAUGGAUUAGUUUUUCUGCAUCUGUCUGUGAAAGGAUGUGUCUAAUUUUUGUAAUAUUACGUAAAUGAAAGAAGGCAGUCCUAGAGGUCUGCUUUAUGUGGGAGUUAAAUGACAAAUCCUGAUCAAAGAUAACUCCAAGAUUCCUGACAGUGGUGCUAGAGGCCAAGUUAAUGCCAUCUAGAGUAACUAUAUCUUUAGACAGUGAGUCUCUAAGGUUUUUUGGGCCAAGAACAAGAAUUUUGUUUUUUUCUGAGUUUAGCAUCAGAAAAUUGCAGGUCAUCCAGGAUUUUAUGUCCUAAAGACAUGUUUGUAAUUUAGAUAAUUGAUUAAUUUCAUCGGGCUUGAUUGAUAGAUAUAACUGCGUAUCAUCUGCAUAACAGUAAAAGUUAAUGGAGUGAUUCCUAAUAAUGUUGCCUAAAGGGAGCAUAUAUAAAGUAAAUAGUAUUGGUCCAAGAACAGAACCUUGUGGAACUCCAUGACUAACUGUAGUAUUUAUGGAAGAUUCAUUGUUAACAUAUACAAACUGCGAGCGAUCUGAUAAAUAUGACUUAAACCAGCUUAGUGCAGUUCCUUUAAUGCCAAUUUGAUGCUCAAGUCUCCCCAAAAGAAUAUUAUGGUCAAUGGUGUCAAAUGCAGCACUAAGAUCUAAUAAUACAAGUACAGAGACAAGUCCAUUGUCAGAAGCAAUCAGAAGGUCAUUAUUAACUUUAACCAGAGCUGUCUCUGUGCUGUGAUGAACUCUAAAUCCUGACUGAAAAUCCUCAAAUAAACUAUUGUUAUGUAGAAAUUCACACAACUCUUUGGCGACUACUUUCUCCAGAAUCUAGAGAGGAAGGGGAGUUAGAGAUCGGUCUA
rnacentral:lncRNA from 15 species